GAUGAACGCUGGCGGCGUGCCUAAUACAUGCAAGUCGAACGAACAGACGAUGAUCUUGCGCCUCUGACGUUAGCGGCGGACGGGUGAGUAACACGUGUAUAACCCACCUAUCAGACUGGGAUAAUUUCGGAAAACCGGAGCUAAUACGGUAGAAUAUAUUGAACCGCAUGGUGCAAUAGUGAAAUACGGUUUUGCUGUCACUAAUAGCUGGUUCCGGGCCGCAUUAGCUGGUUGGUAAGGUAACGGCUUACCAAGGCAACGAUGCGUAGCCGACCUGAGAGGCUGAUCGCCCACAGUGGAACUGAGACACGGUCAAGACUACUACGGGAGGCAGCAGUAGGGAAUCUGCCGCAAUGGGCGAAAGCUUGACAGAGCAACGGCGCGUGAGUGAUGAAGAUCUUCGGAUCGUAAAAAUCUCUUUUUGGGGAAGAACCACUGUGUCAGUAACUAUGGACGUCUUGACGGUACCUAAUAAGAAAGCACCGGCUAACUACGUG
rnacentral:rRNA from 1 species